rnacentral:rRNA from 1 species
CAGUCGCCGCGGUAAUACGGAGGGCGCGAGCGUUACCCGGAUUUACUGGGCGUAAAGGGCGUGUAGGCGGCCUGGGGCGUCCCAUGUGAAAGGCCACGGCUCAACCGUGGCGGAGCGUGGGAUACGCUCAGGCUAGAGGGUGGGAGAGGGUGGUGGAAUUCCCGGAGUAGCGGUGAAAUGCGCAGAUACCGGGAGGAACGCCGAUGGCGAAGGCAGCCACCUGGUCCACUUCUGACGCUGAGGCGCGAAAGCGUGGGGAGCAACCCGGAUUAGAUACCCGCGUAGUCCCUGUCUCUUAUAC